rnacentral:rRNA from 1 species
UACAGAGGGGGCAAGCGUUGUUCGGAAUUACUGGGCGUAAAGAGUGUGUAGGUGGUGUCGUAAGUUUGGUGUGAAAUCUCCCGGCUUAACUGGGAGGGUGCGCCGAAGACUGCGAUGCUGGAGUAUGGGAGAGGAAAGCGGAAUUCCUGGUGUAGCGGUGAAAUGCGUAGAUAUCAGGAGGAACACCUGCGGUGUAGACGGCUUUCUGGACCAUUACUGACACUGAGACACGAAAGCGUGGGUAGCAAACAGG